rnacentral:rRNA from 1 species
GAUGAACGCUGGCGGCGUGCCUAAUACAUGCAAGUCGAGCGAACAGACAAGGAGCUUGCUCCUUUGACGUUAGCGGCGGACGGGUGAGUGACACGUGGGUAACCUACCUAUAAGACUGGGAUAACUUCGGGAAACCGGAGCUAAUACCGGAUAAUAUUUCGAACCGCAUGGUUCGAUAGUGAAAGAUGGUUUUGCUAUCACUUAUAGAUGGACCCGCGCCGUAUUAGCUAGUUGGUAAGGUAACGGCUUACCAAGGCGACGAUACGUAGCCGACCUGAGAGGGUGAUCGGCCACACUGGAACUGAGACACGGUCCAGACUCCUACGGGAGGCAGCAGUAGGGAAUCUUCCGCAAUGGGCGAAAGCCUGACGGAGCAACGCCGCGUGAGUGAUGAAGGUCUUCGGAUCGUAAAACUCUGUUAUUAGGGAAGAACAUACGUGUAAGUAACUAUGCACGUCUUGACGGUACCUAAUCAGAAAGCCACGGCUAACUACGUGCCAGCAGCCGCGGUAAUACGUAGGUGGCAAGCGUUAUCCGGAAUUAUUGGGCGUAAAGCGCGCGUAGGCGGUUUUUUAAGUUUGAUGUGAAAGCCCACGGCUCAACCGUGGAGGGUCAUUGGAAACUGGAAAACUUGAGUGCAGAAGAGGAAAGUGGAAUUCCAUGUGUAGCGGUGAAAUGCGCAGAGAUAUGGAGGAACACCAGUGGCGAAGGCGACUUUCUGGUCUGUAACUGACGCUGAUGUGCGAAAGCGUGGGGAUCAAACAGGAUUAGAUACCCUGGUAGUCCACGCCGUAAACGAUGAGUGCUAAGUGUUAGGGGGUUUCCGCCCCUUAGUGCUGCAGCUAACGCAUUAAGCACUCCGCCUGGGGAGUACGACCGCAAGGUUGAAACUCAAAGGAAUUGACGGGGACCCGCACAAGCGGUGGAGCAUGUGGUUUAAUUCGAAGCAACGCGAAGAACCUUACCAAAUCUUGACAUCCUUUGACAACUCUAGAGAUAGAGCCUUCCCCUUCGGGGGACAAAGUGACAGGUGGUGCAUGGUUGUCGUCAGCUCGUGUCGUGAGAUGUUGGGUUAAGUCCCGCAACGAGCGCAACCCUUAAGUUUAGUUGCCAUCAUUAAGUUGGGCACUCUAAGUUGACUGCCGGUGACAAACCGGAGGAAGGUGGGGAUGACGUCAAAUCAUCAUGCCCCUUAUGAUUUGGGCUACACACGUGCUACAAUGGACAAUACAAAGGGCAGCGAAAUCGCGAGGUCAAGCAAAUCCCAUAAAGUUGUUCUCAGUUCGGAUUGUAGUCUGCAACUCGACUACAUGAAGCUGGAAUCGCUAGUAAUCGUAGAUCAGCAUGCUACGGUGAAUACGUUCCCGGGUCU